ensembl:lncRNA
AAAGAGACGUUAGGAGAAGCACUGAAUUAUGGAGAUGGGAUCGGACGGCUAGUGGGAUGAAGAGGCUGGGGAAAUAGAAUGAAUAGACAGAGUAAAUGAUUGACUUCAACUAUCCAAAAUAUAAAAAAGACAAGACAGAGAAAAUGAGGAAGAAAAGGAAUGAACCUGGAUGGGAUCCAUACAGUAUUAAGAACAGGGUACUAUUUCAUUUGGAUUCACUGACUCAAAACAAAACAAAACUACAGAGUACUCUGCGAAUCAGAAGAUAAGGAUUCAGUAUAUAGCGAGACACCUACAAUCUCUGCAUUCACUAUAGUUACCUAGCACUUGAAGAUAUUGAACGGAAAAUAUUGAGAAAAAUGCUAUUAUAUGGGAAGUGCAUUGGAGCACAUGGUAGGAGUAUCUAAUUAAAAGUCCAGAAGGAGUCAGGAACAAUUUUCUUGGAGGAAGGGAUGUUUAAACUGAAACCUGAGUGUUGAAUAGAUUUAAAACAGGUCAAGAGGGGUGACAUUUUCCAGGUAGAAGGUCCAAAUCCGUGUAACAGCUGUGUAAAAUGCCAAGCGUUGGGUCUGUUAUUAUGAAGGGCUUAGUUGGCCGUUAGGGCACUGGUCAGAUUUGUAUUGAAAGAUCUUUGGAUAAAGGAGGUAGGAUUGGGAGGGAAGAUACAGAGUCACGAGAUUUGGAAGCUGUUUAGGAAAUCCAGUUGAGAAAGAAAUGAUCGUAGCCUUGAUACCUCAUUAUUCUAUUUUGGCUAGGUGGAGUUAAGAAAACAGAAGAGAAAGGCAAUUUUUUGUGCAUUGUAAAUAAAAAGAAUUUGGGGAGUGACUAGAGACAGAAGAUAAAGAGAACAUAGCUUAACAGUUAACAACGAUGUGCUUGAAGAGUGUUUAGAAAUGUGAAGAUGACUAUCUAGCCCAGCAUACACACCUGUAAUCCCAGCUACUUGUGAGGCUGGAGUGCAGUGGCUACAUCACAGUUCACUGCAGCCUGGAGUAUCUAUUCUCAACCAGACCUCCCACCUCAGCUUCCUGAGUAGCUGUGACUACAGGCGCACGCCACCAUGUCCGGCUAACUUUUGUAUUUUUUGUAGAGAGGGGGUUUCACCAUAUUGCCCUGGUUGGUCUCCAACUCCAGAGCUCAAGUGAUCCACCCUCCUGGGCUUCCCAAAGUUUUGGUAUUACAGGAGUAAGCCACUGCACCUGGCUGUUUUUUAAUAUUUCUCUGAUGUCAGUAAACUCCCCUUCAUUCCUCUUCUUUCCACAUCUUGAAAAAAGGCUUCUACAGACCACAGAGGCCUUGGUGUGAGUGGUGGGUUUGGAUGUAGUUUUUAUGGCAUAUGUGUGGAAAAUAGAGGGAAGGAGCUGAGUUUUGCAUUUAGAUUGAUACUAAGAUAAAAACAAAGAGCCAUACCUUCAGAAUGGAGACACAAGAUUUAGGAGCAGCAGGAAGUUGAAGUCAGAGGGGACCAUAAAAUGGCAACUCACCAUGUAUUCAUGGAAAUUUUGUGUAGGGCAGUAGACUGUUCCAAAGGGGGAAAUAGAAGCUCAAUAUUGUAAGGGGUAGAGGCACAAGCAGUUAAUUGGGUAAUAGUUUGAAAUUUAGGGACUGGCUUUAAAAAAUCUCUAAUCUAUGAAACAGGGUGAAUUGAAGACCUUUUAAAUACCACUAAAAUAACAAUCAGAAUUUUUUAUUGAAGUAUAAACAUAAAAUUAACAAACUAACACAAAAAAUUAGCCGGGCGAGGUGGCGGCGCCUGUGGUCCCAGCUACUCGGGAGGCUGAGGCAGGAGAAUGGCGGGAACCCGGGAGGCGGAGCUUGCAGUGAGCUGAGAUCUGGCCACUGCACUCCAGCCUGGUGACAGAGCGAGACUCCGUCUCAAAAAAAAAAAAAAAAAAAA